rnacentral:rRNA from 2 species
UACAGAGGUCCCAAGCGUUGUUCGGAUUCACUGGGCGUAAAGGGUGCGUAGGUGGUGAGGUAAGUCGGAUGUGAAAUCUCGGAGCUCAACUCCGAAAUGGCAUUGGAAACUACCUCGCUAGAGGAUCGGAGGGGAGACUGGAAUUCUCGGUGUAGCAGUGAAAUGCGUAGAUAUCGAGAGGAACACCAGUGGCGAAGGCGAGUCUCUGGACGAUUCCUGACGCUGAGGCACGAAAGCCAGGGGAGCAAACGGG